rnacentral:lncRNA from 1 species
AACACAAUGAACAGUACUCUCCCAUUCUCAAUUCCUCCCUAAGAAUCCUUAUCCCUUCUCUACCUGAAUACCUUAUCUCCACUAUAUUCUUUUCUCUCUAAAAUACAGUUGGCCAACUAGAAUAGCAACCCAAUUCCGUUAUUUUUCUCGUCAUUUUCGUCCUAUCUUCAUUCCUUCACUCAUUCACGAUUUCACUAGCUUUAAAUCCCGCUCCUUCC